CUGUACUUAUCAAGCUGAACAUAUCCUUAAUCAGACCACAGUGCUUGGAGCACAAUGGGCCCUUAAAAAUGGGGACAAGAGGGAAGAAGAAAGGAAGGCUGGGGCAAGCAAAAAGGAGAGCCAGAUUUCUUUGUCAAGUUUUAAAAGUAUCGCUGUACGGAAAUUUUACAGAAGAAAUUUUGAACACCACAGAUUUUUGCCUUUUGAGUUAUUAUUUGCAUUAACGUAAUAUUAACAGGGCAACAAUGUUUUUCGAUUUAUCAUGUGGUUAAGCAAAUUGUUAAACACAUUUGAUUACCGAAAACAGGGAAUAUGGUAGAAGAUCAAAGACAUGCCAGAAAUUUUUAUUUUAUGUGGGACACUCGGAAUUUAGUUGAGCCUGACAGAGUCCUGCUGGCUAACACCAAGGAGAGACUAUUGCUGGCCCCAUGCAAGUGGCUGGAAUAAUGGAAGUCAAGAAGGAAAUCUCCACAUGGUCGACACUUUGAAGUUGGUCAUAGAUAGGAAGUUAGAACAAACUCCAGUGGGUGAGGGGUCAUGAGUUUACCAGGAGAAGGUAACUUAAGACUGAAUGAACAAAAAGAAUUUGUGGUCACACGAAAAUAAGGAGCAAAACUUCAGGAACAGUCUGAGAUAACAAGAAGCUUUAUUUCCAAUAUAUGGGUCCCAUCCCAUUGUAACACUAAUUGAGAACUUCCCGUCUGGAGGAAAGAAGAGAAUGAAUGACAUGCAACAUUGGACCCUAAACAGAACCAAUGACAAACCUGUGAGCUCACAAGCACACUUCUGGAGAACCUGGCUACCAGAGAAGUGUUACUUCCAAGCUGUAAAAUCACUCAGCAGUCCCUGCAACUGAUGCAACCUUUACUUUAAGAGAAUAGGAGGACAUCAUGUUCAUAAAGAAACCUUGGAUCUCGAACGUACCUAAAAAGCAGCUUAAAGUCCUUGGAGCAAACAGUACAGCUGAGAAAUGUUACACCAGUUGGGUGUCAAUCCAUAAAACCCGUUCUAGAGAAAAUCGUGGAGAUGUUUAAAGACAUGAAGGCAAAGACAAAUUUUUCAACCAGAACCCUCAAGAAAUGUCACUUCUCUGUCUUGCCAAGAGAGAUCCAGCAUUUUUUCUACAUAAACAUCUGCUGGAAACAUUUUAAAGGGAGGCAUUUUAAAUAAUGACGUUUAUAGCUUCUUGGUCUUUAAUAAGUCUGAAAAAGAAGAAAAAUGAAUUUGUGAUACAUUCCUUCCCAAAGCAACUUUUCUUCACUGAUAUGCAUCAUAUUAGAUGAUCUAAAAGCGAAAAUAUUAACAUUAUGUUGGGGGAAAAUGAUUAAGAACAUUUCUCUGAACUGUCUGUAUCAAUCAUACCUGAGAGUCAGUCAUAAAUCACAGGUUCCUUAAACUCCAGAAACUCCA
ensembl:lncRNA LINC00923 long intergenic non-protein coding RNA 923